UUUUUUAAAUAAUUUAGCACAACAUUGGAAUGACGCUUUUUCUUGUCUCGGUUGGUGCAAACAUUCAAAAAGGUCCAGUUUAACAUUGGUUCUCAUUUUGAACGGUCGUUUUGAAAAACUGAAAUAAUUAAAAGUGAAAUUAGGAAAAUAAACAACAGCCAAUAUGACUGAGGCAAUGAACUUGAUGACAACCUACUGUAUCUUGAUGGUCUUGCUCUUAUUUUUGUAUCUUCUGUACGCCGGCAUUUUUUAAAUUUUAGAUUAUGAUGUAACCAAAGAAAUAAACCAAAAAUAACAUUUUAUUUACCAUCAUCGCAUCGUGGUCCGUCGUCAUACCAAUAUCAGAAGAGCCAAACCUAUUAUUAAUAUGUGCGGCGCAUCCAUUAGGCCAAUAAAACAAGAUCACUUUCGUUACUACACACACACACGCUACACACUUAUCGGGCGAAACCAGAUGCAAAAAUUAUUGGUAUGAAAAUAAACCACUCUCAGCUGAAUGGGGGCGCCAUUAAUUUAAAUUAGCCUAAUGUUUGUAUUUUAUAAAAAAAAAAGUUUGAUUUCUUUUAUCAUU